AUAUGAUUCAUAUUUUUGUUUUGUGUGAAUUGACUAUAACACCCUCCUAUGUUUACUUCUCAAAGUUGAAUAAAAAUCGGCAACCUGAGGGAGGACAACUAGUGUUCAAAAUUUUGUUGGCAUUUUCAGGGCUUCAGCACAAUCUACCCAAGAAACGGGGUUAUAACACUCGAGUUUCUAAGUGUAAAGAGGCUGCCUGUGCUCUUUUAUUGUAAGUUUUCUUAAACUAACAAGAAUAACAUUAUUCUAAGGAUAGGUUUUCAUCUACAUUUCUGUAAUUCAAUUUUAUGUUUAGCUGAUCGAAUGACUUGUCAUUUGUUGCGUAGAUGAAAGGAUUAUGCAGUCUUACACUCGAUUAUAUGUGCAAGCUCAAAUAAUACAUAAAUUAUCAGUUGAACAGAGCCUACCACAUAACCCAUGCAUGAAGCCACUUGAAAAUGCAACGAAACCAUUUGGAUGUUUAAGAAAAGAAAUAGGAUCUUUUGCCUGCAAAUAUGCACAAGUACGCAAAUAUUUUUGCAGAGUCACUAUUUGUGUGUUUAUACCUAAAAAACCUUGCUUAUUUGCAACGUGAGGUAUCCCUCUUCGGUACAUAUGCAAAUAAACAAGGCUUUUCAAGGUAUGGACAUGAAUACUAACUUUGCAGGGGUAUUUCAAAAGUUUUGCACGAAUACUAACUAUCAUUUUACUGUUGAGAAAUCAGCCUCUCUUUGUGUUGGGAAAACUAUUAGUACUUCUUGUGUCCAAUUCUGUUUUUCACCUUUUUUUCCCCUCUAAAUUGUUACUCGAAACAUUAAAUAAUCAAAUUAGCAUUGGUCUUUAUGCACAAUUAGUGACUUAUACUUUUAUUCUGUUGCAAUGUAUGUCACAACAAACUAAAAUAUUAAGAUUACCUGCCUUUGUUUGGGUUACUUAGUCAUGUUCUAUGUAGUUCUAGGCCAGCAUUUGUUGAAAGAACUUUAUUCAGUUUACUCUACUAAGUAUAGAAUCUGUAUGUCGCUUAUUAAGUUUCAAUUAUCUUGCCUUACCAUCUGAUAACACAAUGCAUCUCUCUUGUUUGUAAUAUUUCUCAGUGCAACUAAAUCUCAUCUUACUUUCAUAUAGAGCAACAACGGUUUUCAAAGGAUGGCUACAAAAAACACUUACAAGUGAACCAUCUGGCCCCAGCGUUACUAUCAAUGUUGCUUUUGCCUUCCCUUCUUCGAGGCUCUCCCAGUAGAAUUAUAAAUGUUAACUCCAUUAUGCAUUAUGUAGGUUUUGUUGACACGGAAGACAUGAACAUGACAUCUGGGAAAAAGAAAUACACAAGUUUAUGGGGAUAUUCAAAUAGCAAAUUGGCACAGGUAAAGUUCAGCAGCAUCCUUUAUAAGAGAAUUCAUGCUGAAGCCGGUAUUAAUGUACUUUGUGUUUCCCCUAGAAUUGUUCACACAAAGGUUGUAAGUUUCCUUCAACACAUCAUGCCAAAUAUUCAUGUCAUUUUAACUAUGUCCAUACCUUAUUCCGAUUUAAUUUUCUAGACAGUUUAAUUCGAUUCAAUUAACAAAACUUUUACAAUGAUCUUACUAAAGAAGAAGAUAUUUGAAUUUGUCUCUUUUUUCCCCACAUUUCUGUGUUUGAAGUAAACAGAUUGCUUACAAUGUAUAGGCCAGGGAUCUGCCCAAGAUUGUAAUAGCGGCUUACCAUCUAAGCCCCUAUUUCAUAUUCGAUGCCCAGGAAGGUAUGCAGUUAUACUAUUUUUCGGAUUUUUGUUACUUCGUAUCUUUGAGGCAAAUCGAAUCAAGCGGCUAGUGAAGUUUUGAACUUUCUAUUAUAUAUUCGUUGAAAUCAGUAUUUGUGUGUUUCCACUUUAGCCGUACGAGAUGAAAUUCUCAUAUACGGUUCUCAGAGGGGGAGUUCUUUUGGGUUACCUAUCUCAAUAAAGUAUAUGAUUGGUUUGAGGAACAUCCUGAGAUUCAGGGGAUUGCACUUAACAUGACACAUUUGUAUAUUCACUUUAUUGUUCUCUUUUGACAUGUGUGUUGAAGUUGUCUAUUUUGUUUACUUAGCUAUAUAGUUCCUAUUCACUAUAUAUUUGUUACAAAAAUAGUAUCAAUGCCUCAGCUCAUCCUCUGUAUUGCCAGCUUACUGAAAGCGGUUUACUUUUUGCAGGAUGUCGCUUUGCUAUGUUAGAUCUACAGCCAAAGCUACGUCAAACCUGCAGCUUUCGAAGUAAAAUAAUAAUAGCUUGAGCUCUUAGAAUUUGGGAUUUUUUUGAGAUAAUAAAUGUUUAACGACAUUUAGAAUUUGUUAUUGUUUCACUGAAAAUUCAAAUAAGCAUUUUGUAGUUGAAACUCAUGUAUGAAAUAUAUUUUUAAUAUUGAAACUGUGAUUUGUCGCAAAUUAAGAUUACGUUUUGGUAAUGAAUGUUUUCUAAUUUCAAUUUAUUGAAAUAUUUAAUUGUCGAUCAAGUGUUUUAAUAUAUAUUGCAAUUGCCGCUGUAAGUCUUAUUUAGUAAUUAUUUAGUAUACUUUGAGUAGCAAUUAUAAUUAAUUAUGAUGUCAUUUAUAAUUGUUGUUAUUGGGUAGGAUUUAGUGGCAUUUGUUGUCAAACAAAUGUCAUAAUAACUUUUACUGACCACACUAUUAGUGGCAAUUACUAUAAUUGUCACUAAACUAUUUAGCGACAGUUAUAAUUGUCGGGAUUUUAAAAAAUAAUCACCACUAAAUAAGGGUG